rnacentral:tRNA from 1 species
GGGCCCGUAGUCUAGGGGUUAGGAUGCCGCCCUUACGAGGCGGUGAUCCCGGGUUCGAAUCCCGGCGGGCCCA